rnacentral:rRNA from 1 species
UGUCGGGUAAGUUCCGACCUGCACGAAUGGUGUAACGAUCUGGGCACUGUCUCAGCCAUGAGCUCGGUGAAAUUGUAGUUCCGGUGAAGAUGCCGGAUACCCGCAACGGGACGGAAAGACCCCGUGAACCUUCACUACAGCUUAACAUUGACGUUGGAUAAACAAUGUGUAGGAUAGGUGGGAGAUUGUGAAGCGGCCUCGCUAGGGGUCGUGGAGUCAACCUUGAAAUACCACCCUUUGUUUAUUCGGCGCCUAAUCCCCGUACGGGGAGACAGUGUUUGGUGGGUAGUUUGACUGGGGUGGUCGCCUCCAAAAGAGUAACGGAGGCUUUCAAAGGUACCCUCAGCACGCUUGGUAACCGUGCGUAGAGUGCAAUGGCACAAGGGUGCUUGACUGUGAGACUUACAAGUCGACCAGGUACGAAAGUAGGACAUAGUGAUCCGGCGGUUCCGCAUGGAAGGGCCGUCGCUCAAAGGAUAAAAGGUACUCCGGGGAUAACAGGCUGAUCACUCCCAAGAGCUCACAUCGACGGAGUGGUUUGGCACCUCGAUGUCGGCUCGUCACAUCCUGGGGCUGGAGAAGGUCCCAAGGGUUGGGCUGUUCGCCCAUUAAAGUGGCACGCGAGCUGGGUUCAGAACGUCGCGAGACAGUUCGGUCCCUAUCUGUUGUGGGCGUUAGAAGUUUGAGGGCACCUGACCCUAGUACGAGAGGACCGGGUUGGACAUACCUCUAGUGUACCUGUUGUGGCGCCAGCUGCAUCGCAGGGUAGCUAUGUAUGGAUGAGAUAAGUGCUGAAAGCAUCUAAGCACGAAACUUAGCUCAAGAUGAGACUUCUUUUAAGGGUCGUUCAAGACCAGGACGUUGAUAGGCUGCAGGUGUAAAGCCAGUAAUGGCAAAGCCGAGCAGUACUAAUUACCCGUAAGCUUUCUUCUG